GAGAUGGGGAUAACUACUAGAAAUAGUAGCUAAUACCGAAUAAAGUCAAUUAAUUUGUUAAUUGAUGAAAGGAAGCCUUUAAAGCUUCGCUUGUAGAUGAGUCUGCGUCUUAUUAGCUAGUUGGUAGGGUAAAUGCCUACCAAGGCGAUGAUAAGUAACCGGCCUGAGAGGGUGAACGGUCACACUGGAACUGAGAUACGGUCCAGACUCCUACGGGAGGCAGCAGCUAAGAAUCUUCCGCAAUGGGCGAAAGCCUGACGGAGCGACACUGCGUGAAUGAAGAAGGUCGAAAGAUUGUAAAAUUCUUUUAUAAAUGAGGAAUAAGCUUUGUAGGAAAUGACAAAGUGAUGACGUUAAUUUAUGAAUAAGCCCCGGCUAAUUACGUGCCAGCAGCCGCGGUAAUACGUAAGGGGCGAGCGUUGUUCGGGAUUAUUGGGCGUAAAGGGUGAGUAGGCGGAUAUAUAAGUCUAUGCAUAAAAUACCACAGCUCAACUGUGGAACUAUGUUGGAAACUAUAUGUCUAGAGUCUGAUAGAGGAAGUUAGAAUUUCUGGUGUAAGGGUGGAAUCUGUUGAUAUCAGAAAGAAUACCGGAGGCGAAGGCGAACUUCUGGGUCAAGACUGACGCUGAGUCACGAAAGCGUAGGGAGCAAACAGGAUUAGAUACCCUGGUAGUCUACGCUGUAAACGAUGCACACUUGGUGUUAACUAAAAGUUAGUACCGAAGCUAACGUG
rnacentral:rRNA from 1 species